ACCGCCGGCCGUUGGCGCCCCCCGGCCGCCCUCCCUCCCCGGCCCAGGGCUCGCGUCCCCAACGCCACCCCGCGGGCCGCCGCGCCGCCCGCCACCGGAGCCGCCGCCUGCCCGGGCCACCUGCUCGCACCCCCGGCGUCGCCACCCCGGGAGACCCCCGCCCCCGGCCCGCACCGCGCCACGGUGCCCAAGAUGCCCACAGUGCCGGGCCUAGGCCUCCAGUCUCCUGGCUCGGGACGGCCUCAGCACCCGGGCACCGCGCGGCUUGCGCGCCGUCUGAACUUCGUUUGAGCCGGAAGUGGACGUCCCAGUCCCAUUAUGUCUUACAGGGAAAGCCGCCGGGAGCACAGAAGCGCUGUCACCACCGACCCGCGCAGCUCCCCGGGAAAACGGUCACCCGAGUGGCCGCGAUGGUAACAUCCCAGAGGAUCUCUUCUUCAGUUGUCCAUGGAGAAAGGACCGGAUAGCGUCAUUUUAACUCAGGGAAGAACAAUUCACAGCCUUCCCCCUCCUGUUAAAUUUGAUGGAUGUCCUGCUAACAACGAAACUUGAUAAUCUCUUCUUUUUCCAGCUUGUGCAAAGAAAUAGCAUAGCUGAUUGUGUGACUCUUCACACGUGUAGUUUAAAAAAAAAAGCAUUCUUUUUUCCUUGAUUUGAAGCAUUAGAGGCCCCAUAUAGUUAGGAAUAGCAGCGACUCUUCCGCAAGGGCUCAGCGUUGUUUUCUGUUUUGCCUGUCUGCAAAAGUUUUCGAAUCCGUUUCAGACUUAAGAAUUACUGAUUCUGUGAAUUUUGUCAAAAAAAAAGUUGGACCGAGUUUGUUAAAUUCUGAAAUUCCAUGAAUACUCGCCUCAGCCUCCCGAGUAGCUAGGGACUACAGGUGCCCGCCACCAUGCCCAGCUCAUUUGUGAUUUUUUUUUUUUCAGUGUAGGAGUUUCGCUCUGUUGCCCUGGCUCAUCUCGAACUCCUGGCUCCAAGUGAUCCUCCUGCCUCUGCCUUCCAAAGUGUUGAGAUUACAGGCAUGAGCCACCACACUUGACCUAAUUUUACAAAUUUUGACAAAUGCUACCUAGACUUUUUUUAUUUUUAAAAAGGUAAGCCAAGCGUGGCGUGUAGUCCCCAGCUACUCCGGAGGCUGAGGCGGGUGGAUCCCUGGAGACCAGGAGCUGGGGGCCGCAGUGAGCUAUAAUCAUGCCUGUGGACUCCAGCCUGAGCAUAGCGAAACCCGGCUCUAACACAAGAAAAUUAAAUAUUAAUUUAAAAGUAACUGAACCAAGAAUAGUUGCCUCAUGUUUGAAUGCGUAUAAAUAUAAUGCAUUUAACUGUGGUCCCAGCUACUCCGGAGGCUGAGGCACGAGAAUCCUUUGAACCCCGAGAGGCAGAGGUUGCAGGGAGCCGAGAUUGCGCCACUGCACUCCAGCCUGGGUGACAGAGUGAGACCCUGUCUCAAAAAGAGUAUAUAUAUAAUAUAUAUGUAUAACGCAUUUAAUAGAAGCAUUAAGAUCAGCAUUAUUUGAUUAUAUUUUAUAAGCACUCCAAAACUUAAUUUUGAAAACCUUAAGAAAUAAAACUACAUUUACAUCUUAGAGUACCUUAAAAGAUAAUCUUCGCUCAAUGUAAUUAGUAUUGCACUUCAGUUUAGUGCUCAAUGUUAUGUUAAAUACUGUGGAGAGAUCAAAGGAAGAAUAUGAUAUGGCCCUUGCCUUCAAAAUUUACAAUUUCUGUACAGAAUUACUUUAAAAUGUGUGCAUAACUUUUUUGUUUGUUUUUUUGAGACGGAGUCUCACUCUGUUGCCCAGGCUGGGGUGCAGUGGUGUGAUCUCCGCUAACUGCAACCUCCGCCUCCCAGGUUCAAGCAAUUCUCCUGCCUCAGCCUCCCGAGUAGCUGGGAUUGCUGGGAUUACAGGCGCUACCACCAUGCCCAUCUAAUUUUGUAUUUUUAAUAGAUACGAGGUUUCACCAUGUUGGCCAGGCUGGUCUCAAACUCCUGACCUCAGGUUAUCUGCCCACCUCGGCCUCCCAAAGUGCUGGAAUUACAGGCAUGAGUCACCACUCCUGGCCAAAAUAUAUACAUAACAUUUUUUAAACCCUUUCUCUCUUGCGCGCGCGCGCACACACACACGGAUCAGGGAUCAGCAUUCAUUUGCUUGGCCCUGGCCUGGAGCAAAUUAUGGAAAUUUUGACCCUUGCUGUCAGACUAAAGAGAAGAAGGAUUAAAGAUGAACUUUCUUGACUUAAUAAAUACAAUCUAUGUAACAGUAUAAAAAUGAUACAACAAAUACCAUCAAGACUGAAUGAUACAGGUGUUCUUGCUUCUGCAAAAUGAAAAAAAAAAUACAAACCUUGAAACUACUCUUCUAAUAAUACCAUAGUUUUCCAUAAGGCCCACAGGUAUAAACUCUCUCUUAUCCAGCACUCUUGGGUACAAAUACACCCAACUCUCAGCAAAACUGAGAAGUCCCUCAAGUUUGUUUUCUGCCUGUGUCAUUUUGCACAGUGUCAGUGGUUUUGCGAAUGUCUUUGGAGCAAAUAUCUUCACUGAAGUCCUGGUUCUACCACUUACUAACAAGUGACAAACAAGAACAAUAUUCCAAAUGCUGUGUCUUUAGCCAUACAUUCAAAAAACAAUAUCUCCCUCACAGUGCUGUUGAAAUAAUCAAAUAAAAUAUGUAAAUUAUAUGCCUGGCACACAAGAGGUGCUCAGUCAAAAAAUAAUACUUGGGCCGAGCACAGUGGCUCAUGCCUGUAUUCCCAGUACUUUGGGAGGCCAAGGCAGGUGGAUCACCUGUGAUCAUGAGUUCAAGACCAGCCUGACCAACGUGACAAAACCCCAUCUGUACUAAAAAUACAAAAAUUAGCCGGGCGUGGUGGCACACACCUGUCAUCCCAGCUACUUGUGAGGCUGAGGCAGGAGAAUCACUUGAACCCAGGAGGCAGAGGUUGCAGUGAGCCGAGAUCAUGCCACUGCACUCCACCCUGGGAGACACAGCGAGACUCUCUCUCAAAUAAUAAUAGUAAUAAGCCGGGUGCGGUGGCUCACGCCUGUAAUCUCAGCACUUUGGGAGGCCAAGGUGGGCGGAUCACCUGAGGUCGGGAGUUUGAGUCCAGCCUGACCAACAUGGAGAAACCCUGUCUCUACUAAAAAUACAAAAAAUUAGCCGGGCAUGGUGGCGCAUGCCUGUAAUCCCAGCUACUUGGGAGGCUGAGGUAGAAGAAUGGCUUGAACCCAGGAGGCGGAGGUUGCAGUGAGCCGAGAUUGUGCCAUUGCACUCCAGCCUGGGCAAAAAGGGCGAAACUCCGUCUCAAAAAAAAAAAUACUACCACUACUAACAAUAAUACCUCCAACCUGAACAUGGUGAAACCCCGUCUCUAAUAAAAAUACAAAAAUUAGCUUGGCCUGGUGGCGGCCGCCUGUAGUCCCAGCUCCUCAGCAGGCUGAAGCAGGAGAAUUGCUUGAACCUGGGGGGCAGAGUUUGCAGUGAGCCAGGAUUGUGCCACUGCACUCCACCCUGGGCGACAGAGUGAGUCUCCAUCUCAAAAAUAAUAAUAAUAAUACCUAAGGACCAGA
rnacentral:lncRNA from 1 species